CCUACUGCUCUCCUCAGAGCCUAUUUGGCUCUCACGGACAUGGCGGACCCCGUUAUUUAGUUCCAUUACGCAGCCCGCGUCACCUCCACCAGGGUUGCCACCCACCAUCGCCAAGGCAGCCUCUAAGGUGGAGACCUCAGCUAUCUCCUCACCAUUCUCAUUCCUCACAAUGUAUAUAUAUUGCCAUUGGACCUUGCGGGCCAUGACUAGUAGUGGGCCGAAGCCACAGAGAGAAGUGGGGCCCCAGGAAUGACCACCCUCAAGGCCUAUUGUUUGGUCAGUCUCUACUACCAAUGAGGAGUCAAGAGAAGGCCUGAGGAAAGGGUGACGUCAACGUGUCCUUCUGCGCAUGCUCCACACUUCUCCAUGUUCCUCAAGGUUGACGUCAACACGCUCCUCACCAGAUGGGCGCUAUAGGCUUUUCCCUCCCUGACUGACUGCUCUGGGCUUUUUGACCUCUUGCUGAGGUCCAUCACAUUCCCCACUGUGUUAUAGUGCAUCAUGAUACCACCUAAAGAGUUCAUUCCAGAUUUUUGCAUCAUGGACAAACAUAAGGGUUCUAGUAGGCUGAAGAGAUGGCACAGAAGUGAAGAAAAGAUACAGUUUUUGCAAAGGACCCUAGUUUGUUUUCUUAGCAUCAACACUGGACAACUCUUAACGGCCUAGACCUCCAGCUCCAUGAAGAUAAAUGCCUCGGACUAUGGAGGCACAUGCACAUGUGUGCACAUAUGCCACACAGACACAUACAUGAUUUUUAAAAGAUAAUAGGUACCUUUUAAAAUAAGUAUGGUCCCAAAAUAUUCUUUGUAAAAGUUUGAAAUAAAAUAAAAGUUUGCUUAAAAUGCAUA